GGUCCUGUAAGUAAGCAUGUCACUGUUAGUCUUCACCUGUUGUUUACAAACACCUUUGUAAACAACAGGUGUAGACUAACAGUGACAUGCUUACUUACAGG
rnacentral:pre_miRNA from 1 species